GAUGAACGCUGGCGGCGUGCCUAAUACAUGCAAGUCGAGCGAACAGACGAGGAGCUUGCUCCUCUGACGUUAGCGGCGGACGGGUGAGUAACACGUGGAUAACCUACCUAUAAGACUGGGAUAACUUCGGGAAACCGGAGCUAAUACCGGAUAAUAUAUUGAACCGCAUGGUUCAAUAGUGAAAGACGGUUUUGCUGUCACUUAUAGAUGGAUCCGCGCCGCAUUAGCUAGUUGGUAAGGUAACGGCUUACCAAGGCAACGAUGCGUAGCCGACCUGAGAGGGUGAUCGGCCACACUGGAACUGAGACACGGUCCAGACUCCUACGGGAGGCAGCAGUAGGGAAUCUUCCGCAAAGGGCGAAAGCCUGACGGAGCAACGCCGCGUGAGUGAUGAAGGUCUUCGGAUCGUAAACCUCUGUUAUUAGGGAAGAACAAAUGUGUAAGUAACUAUGCACGUCUUGACGGUACCUAAUCAGAAAGCCACGGCUAACUACGUG
rnacentral:rRNA from 1 species